GAUGAACGCUGGCGGCGUGCCUAAUACAUGCAAGUCGAGCGAACAGACGAGGAGCUUGCUCCUCUGACGUUAGCGGCGGACGGGUGAGUAACACGUGGAUAACCUACCUAUAAGACUGGGAUAACUUCGGGAAACCGGAGCUAAUACCGGAUAAUAUAUUGAACCGCAUGGUUCAAUAGUGAAAGACGGUUUUGCUGUCACUUAUAGAUGGAUCCGCGCCGCAUUAGCUAGUUGGUAAGGUAACGGCUUACCAAGGCAACGAUGCGUAGCCGACCUGAGAGGGUGGAUGGCCCCACUGGAACCGGAACACCGUCCAGACUCCUAAGGGGAGCCGCCAUAGGGAAUCUUCCGGAAUGGGGGGAAGCUUGGACGAGCAACGGCGGCUGGGUGGAGAAAGGCUUCCGGUCCGAAAACUCUGUUAUUAGGGAAGAACAAAUGUGUAAGGAACUAAGCCCGUAUUGACGGUAACUAAUCAAAAAGCCCCGGCUAACUACGUG
rnacentral:rRNA from 1 species